UCAAACUCAUCAAGAUCUGGCUGGAGGGAGCACUUGAUCAGCUGCAGGAUUGUUUCUCAAAUACUAAUUGGAAUUUAUUUGAACAAGAGGAUUUGGAGGAAUAUACAAAAAUUGUACUGUUUUACAUCUUGACCUGUGUGGAUACAGUUACUGUGAAUAAACGCAUCUGGAUUUUUCCAAACCAGAAGCCCUGGAUGAACAAGGAUGUGCAAUUACUUCUCAAGACAGGUGAUAUGGCAUUCAGGUCUGAGGACAGGGUUUGGUAUAACAAGAUUAUUCACUAAUAA